rnacentral:lncRNA from 1 species
AAAAGCUGCAGCAAAAGCAAAAGGGGAGUUUUGCUUGUAGAAACACCACAGGUCUCUUGUCUGCUCUCGGAAUGUUUUUGAGAUAAACCAGAUUUUAAAAAACAAAGGGAAAAAAAAAAACCACAGCUGCUUCUUUUGCUCUCUUCCUACUUUCUUGUGCUUUGCCCCUCCCCUUUCCCAGGUGAUUGGGUUUGGGUGCUGGGCGGGGCCGAAUGGUAUAUGAGCCCCAGGCAUGCUAUCAGAGAGCUCCUUCUGCUUGGGCUGCUCUUUGGGAGGACUAAAACCAGCUUGAUUGAAUGCUACAUAUGGCUUGGCAGCGUAGAUGCAGCAUUACCAAGAGACUGAGCAGGGUUGUAUCAGAGUCACCUCUUUCAUCUGCAAAGGGUGCUUUGUGCGGUCGUGGACAGGAAAGGGAAAUCCUCGUGUCGCGGAGCAGUGAGGGAAGGUGGGUGUUGUCAGCCUGCACAGUGGUUCUUUUGUCCUUUUGUGUUCCCAGGUGGCGUGGGUGAUGCUGGCCACUCCUUUCAAGCUUGGACCUAAUUUGCAGGUCCAGAGGCAAGUGGUCUGCUGUUUUGAAAGGAUAAAAGUAAAGCUGGGGUCGCUUAUGUUGUUGAGGGAUGGGUGCUACUGCUGGCAGAUAAAUGUUUAUCUUCUGCCUGUGUCUUUCCUUUGUUCAGGUUGAAAUGCAGUUCGCAGUGUAGGACGUCUCAACCCGAGCUGUCUCUGCAGUGAUGACUCUGGUGUGUGAUGAGCAGAGGUAACUUGUUUUUGGGGUGCGGUUGUCACUGCAGUUAUUUUCUUACAUGCAGUAGAGUAAAAUUCCAGUUUGCCUUUUAGAGGUGCUAUAAGUGGGUAAAGAGAAGAGAUGGAAGCAUGUGCCAUGUGGGGCAGGCAAGCGGCUGAGGUACAGGAGGGGAUGAGAGUAUGUGAUUUUUUUCUGGGGAUGAAAUGGAAUUGAUUAUUUUGGUGUAUAAUCUGUUCUGCUCCUGGAUUUUUCUUUCAAUGUGAAUAAAAGUUUGAGCUAAUUCCA